CGAACGCUGGCGGCAGGCCUAAUACAUGCAAGUCGAACGGCUCUUCGGAGCAGUGGCGGACGGGUGAGUAACGCGUGGGAAUGUGCCCUUUGGUACGGAACAACCCAGGGACACUUGUGCUAAUACCGUAUGUGCCCUUCGGGGGAAAGAUUUAUCGCCAUUGGAGCAGCCCGCGUUGGAUUAGGUAGUUGGUGAGGUAAAGGCUCACCAAGCCUACGAUCCAUAGCUGGUCUGAGAGGACGACCAGCCACACUGGGACUGAGACACGGCCCAGAUUCCUACGGGAGGCAGCAGUAGGGAAUUUUGCGCAAUGGGCGAAAGCCUGACGCAGCCAUGCCGCGUGUAUGAUGAAGGUCUUAGGAUUGUAAAAUACUUUCACCGGGGAAGAUAAUGACGGUACCCGGAGAAGAAGCCCCGGCUAACUUCGUGCCAGCCGCCGCGGUAAAAC
rnacentral:rRNA from 1 species